rnacentral:tRNA from 8 species
UGCGGAAUGGUGUAAUUGGCAGCACAGCAGACUCUGACUCUGUUAGUAGGGGUUCAAGUCCCUUUUCCGUAGCUA